AGAGUUUGAUCGUGGCUCAGGAUGAACGCUAGCGGCGCGCUUAAUGCAUGUAAGUCGAGCGAUGAGGCCCCUUCGGGCGUACAUCAGCGGCAGACGGGUGAGUAACACGUGGGUAACCUGCCCCUCAGACGGGGAUAACGGAUGGAAACAUGCGCUAAUACCCGAUGACCUCCUCCGGGAGGAAAGCUCCGGCGCUGAGGGAGGGGCCCGCGGCCCAUCAGCUAGUUGGUAGGGUAACGGCCUACCAAGGCAAAGACGGGUAGGGGGUGUGAGAGCACGGCCCCCCACAAUGGGACUGAGACACGGCCCAUACUCCUACGGGGGGCAGCAGCAGGGAAUAUUGCACAAUGGACGAAAGUCUGAUGCAGCGACGCCGCGUGGAUGAUGAAGGCCCUCGGGUUGUAAAAUCCUUUUCGCGGGGAAGAGACAGGACGGUACCCGCAGAAUAAGCGUCGGCUAACUACGUGCCAGCAGCCGCGGUAAGACGUAGGACGCGAGCGUUAUCCGGAUUUACUGGGCGUAAAGCGUCUGUAGGCGGAUGAGUAAGUUGGGCGUGAAAGCUCCGGGCUUAACCCGGAGAGCGCGUUCAAUACUGCUGAUCUAGAGUGGGGUAGAGGGGCGUGGAAUUUCCGGUGUAGCGGUAAAAUGCGCAGAGAUCGGAAGGAACACCAGUGGCGAAGGCGGCGCCCUGGGCCCAAACUGACGCUGGGAGACGAAAGCUAGGGGAGCGAACAGGAUUAGAGACCCUGGUAGUCCUAGCCCCAAACGCUGGGUGCUAGGUGUGGGAUCGAGGGAUUCCGUGCCGUAGUAAACGCGAUAAGCACCCCGCCUGGGGAGUACGACCGCAAGGCUAAAACUCAAACGAAUUGACGGGGCCCCGCACAAGCAGCGGAGCGUGUGGUUUAAUUCGAUGCUACACGAAGAACCUUACCUGGGAUUGACAUGUAGGUGGUAAUGAAGCGAAAGCUAAGUGACCCUUCGGGGAGCCUACACAGGUGCUGCAUGGCUGUCGUCAGCUCGUGCCGUGAGGUGUCGGGUUAAGUCCCGUAACGAGCGCAACCCUUGCCCUUAGUUAUACGUGUCUAAGGGGACUGCCGGCGGAAAGCCGGAGGAAGGUGGGGAUGACGUCAAGUCAGCAUGGCCUUUAUAUCCAGGGCUACACACACGCUACAAUGGUCGGUACAAUGGGCAGCCAAACCGCGAGGUGGAGCGAAUCCCGAAAAGCCGAUCGUAGUUCGAAUUGCAGGCUGCAACUCGCCUGCAUGAAGCUGGAGUUGCUAGUAACCGCGCGUCAGCUAUAGUGCGGUGAAUACGUUCCCGGGGCUUGUACACACCGCCCGUCACGUCAUGGAAGUUGGUAACGCCUGAAGCCGGUAGCCUAGCCUUAACGGGAGGGCGCUGUCGAAGGCGGGACUGGCAACUGGGACGAAGUCGUAACAAGGUA
rnacentral:rRNA from 1 species